rnacentral:rRNA from 1 species
UCUAGAGAUUUGGCGGACGGGUGAGUAACACGUACAUAACUUACCCUCAAGAGGGGGAUAGCCUUGGGAAACUGAGCGUAAUACCCCAUAGUAUUAUUGAACGGCAUCGUUUGAUAAUUAAAGCUACGGCGCUUGAGGAUAGAUGUGCGUCUGAUUAGCUAGUUGGUAAGGUAACGGCUUACCAAGGCGACGAUCAGUAGGGGGCGUGAGAGCGUGGCCCCCCACACGGGUACUGAGACACGGACCCGACUCCUACGGGAGGCAGCAGUAAGGAAUAUUGGUCAAUGCCCGGAAGGGUGAACCAGCCAUGCCGCGUGAAGGAUGACUGCCCUCUGGGUUGUAAACUUCUUUUGGAUGGGACGAAAAAACGGGAUUUAUCCUGGACUGACGGUACCAUCAGAAUAAGCACCGGCUAACUCCGUGCCAGCAGCCGCGGUAAUAAUCGUCGAC